UACGAAGGGGGCUAGCGUUGUUCGGAAUUACUGGGCGUAAAGCGCACGUAGGCGGAUUUGUAAGUCAGGGGUGAAAUGCCGGGGCUCAACCACGGAACUGCCUUUGAUACUGCAAGUCUUGAAACCGGAAGAGGUGAGUGGAAUUCCUCGUGUAGAGGUGAAAUUCGUAGAUAUUAGGAAGAACACCAGUGGCGAAGGCGGCUCACUGGUCCGGUUCUGACGCUGAGGUGCGAAAGCGUGGGUAGCAAACAGG
rnacentral:rRNA from 1 species